rnacentral:rRNA from 1 species
GUAGAUCAUCUGCCCUCAGGUCCGGGAUAGCUGCGGGAAACUGCAGGUAAUACCGGAUAACAUCCCCGGAUCAAAGGUGUGAUUCCGCCUGAGGAUGAGUCUACAUCCUAUUAGCUAGUUGGUAGGGUAACGGCCUACCAAGGCGAUGAUGGGUAGCGGGUGUGAGAGCACGACCCGCGUCAUUGGGACUGAGACACUGCCCAGACACCUACGGGUGGCUGCAGUCGAGAAUCUUCGGCAAUGGGCGCAAGCCUGACCGAGCGACGCCGCGUGCGGGAUGAAGGCCUUCGGGUUGUAAACCGCUGUCAGAGGGGAUGAAAUGCAGGUGGGUUCUCCCACCUGUUUGACAUAGCCUCAGAGGAAGGACGGGCUAAGUUCGUGCCAGCAGCCGCGGUAAGACGAACCGUCCAAACGUUAUUCGGAAUCACUGGGCUUAAAGGGUGCGUAGGCGGCGCGGAAAGUUGGGUGUGAAAUCCCUCGGCUCAACCGAGGAACUGCGCCCAAAACUACCGUGCUC